CGCCUUUAGCCACACAAGUAUUAAAGGUACUGCCUGCCCAGUGAAACAUUAACUUUUAACGGCCGCGGUAUUAUAACCGUGCAAAGGUAGCGUAAUCACUUGUCCCCUAAAUAGAGACCAGUAUGAACGGCUAAAUGAGGGUGAAACUGUCUUUUAUGGCCAACCAGUGAAACUGAUCCCCUAGUACAAAAGCUAGGAUAAACUCACAAGACGAGAAGACCCUGUGGAGCUUAUAACUACACGCACUAUAACUAGCCAAACCCACCAACAGGUUACUACACCACAACUAAUAAUAGGCUAAAGUUUUAGUUGGGGCAACUUCGGAGAACAACCUAACCUCCGAGCAACAGGAUUACAAUCCACUAAAAGGGCCACAACCCCAAUAGACCAAAAAAUUGACCCAGUACCACUGAUAAACGAACCAAGUUACCCCAGGGAUAACAGCGCCAUCCUCUCCAAGAGUCCAUAUCGCCGAGAGGGUUUACGACCUCGAUGUUGGAUCAGGACACCCAAGUGGUGCAGACGCUACUAAAGGCCCGUUUGUUCAACGGCUAACGUCCU
rnacentral:rRNA from 1 species